rnacentral:rRNA from 1 species
CCUACGGGUGGCAGCAGUGGGGAAUCUUGCACAAUGGGGGAAACCCUGAUGCAGCGACGCCGCGUGAGUGAAGAAGUAUUUCGGUAUGUAAAGCUCUAUCAGCAGGGAAGAAAAUUACGGUAACUGACUAAGCAUCCCCGGCUAAAUACGUGCUAGCAGCCGCGGUAAUACGUAGGGGGCAAGCGUUAUCCGGAUUUACUGGGGGUAAAGGGAGCGUAGACGGCCAGACAAGUCAGAAGUGAAAGCCCAGGGCUCAACCCGGGGACUGCUUUUGAAACUGGCGGGCUGGAGUGCAGGAGAGGUAAGCGGAAUUCCUAGUGUAGCGGUGAAAUGCGUAGAUAUCGAGAGGAACACUCGUGGCGAAGGCGGGUUCCUGGACAUUAACUGACGCUGAGGCACGAAGGCCAGGGGAGCGAAAGGGAUUAGAUACCCUAGUAGUC